rnacentral:lncRNA from 1 species
CGCAGGGCCGGAGCCUGUGCCUGCGCCUGCGCCUGCGCCGGGUUUGUCCGGUACGGCUGUGCCGCUCGGUGUGCACCGCUCCUCGGGACAGCGUGUGCCGGGGCCCUCCUCGGGAAAUAUUUCUUCCUUCUAUGGAAACCAACGAGCACCCGGGCCUGCACUCUUGAUAUAAAUACCCGGUGAUGACCGACUUAUUGCGGGCGACCGGGCGACGAAUCCACCGUUGGGACAGCACUGCCGGUGUCAGGCCGUGUAAGGAGUCGCUGUCCUUCUGUUUGUGAGCUCCCUCCAGGUGGAUUUGCCACAAGGUUUCUUACAAUGACUAACAGUAGAAGGAAAUGUGCUCUGAAGGGGUGUGCUUGCAAGUCGGCUCAAGAGAAAUGAAAAUCGUUGUAGCGGGGACCCUGCCUGGGAGCAGAGCAUUACCAAAUACGUUACUAUGCAAAGAAUCUCAUGUUGAAUAAUUUAGAAAUACCUUUUUGUUAGUGGUCAAGUAAAACAUGGCAACAGAGGGUAAUCUCAGGAAAAAGAGGGGAUAAAAACAUCUCUAUCAAGCCCAGACUUGAUGGGAAAGGAAGAGCUGAACAAGUGUGCGUGUCUGGGGGUGUUCAUCUUCUAGACUGCACCCAGAGAAGGAGAAUGAUUGUGAUGCUGCAGUCUCGGAACUCCAGUCAGUACACAAAUGGAAGGAUUUCUGGGCUGAGAUGAAUUUAUCUCCGCAGCUUCUAAUCUUUUGGAUUUUGUGUUCUAGUGCAGUGAAGCUUUUGGGCAUGAUUUAUCAUCACUAUAGCUAACACUGUAUGGGAAAAAAACUGACUUUAGAUCUUACAUCAAAGCUUUUAACAAAGCUUGUUUCCCUGGAUUUUACUUGCUUUCCAUUGUCUCCACCUCUCUGGUGCCUCUUUAAA